GCCCGGGCGGCCGACUGGGGUUGCGGGGCCGCGGGCGGGGACCGCCCCCGGGCGCUGGGCAUCCACCGCGCCGUGCAACAAUGGGGUCCGGCCGGGGCAGCCCCGCGGGCGGUGCCCUCUGCGCGCCGAUGGGGCGGGUGAGGGCCAGCGGCGGCCAGCAGGGGAGUCAUUGUUUGGGUUCCGGAGCGACGCACGUUGCGGGCGAGACUGGGGCGCCCCUUCUCCCUGCGCUUCACCUUGGCGGGAUGAAUGGGGCGAGAGCGAGACGCGCGCUUGUCCUCGCCACCUCAGGAGAAGGGGCCCCUGCCCGCGCCAGUUCUAGAAAGAGGCAAACUUGCAGGACUGGGGCAGAGGAAGCGGGAGCUACAGAACCCCGCGGGGCCCAGGGGCUGCGGGGAAGGGAGUCCAGUGCUCUAAGCGGAGCCGGGAGAAGCGGGCGGCCCUGAGCCGAGUCCUUGACGCUUUCCCCAGCAGCCCCUCCCUUCCCGCCUCCGCGCCCCGGGGAGCGGAUCAGCGGGAUUGUGGGGCGGGAGAGGGAGGAGGCGGCCAGGCAGCCCUUCAGUUCCCGCGGCCGCUCGGAGGGCGCGCGGUCACUGCCUUGCCUGAGGGUCGGCGGGGGCGGGGAGCAGACGGGGCGGAAGCGGCCGCGGGCGGAGGUGGGAGGCUCCUGGCCAGCCUAGGUGGGCGCGGAGCUCCGGGGACCGCAAGACGCCCCUGCCCCUCGCCCCCCGCCCCGCCCCACGUGGGAAACUGCUAGGACGGCGGAAAGGCCGGGAAAGGGAAGUUUGUGUGCGCAGAGAAAGCUCUGCUGUACUGUGGCGUGGAGUGGGGUGGGAAGAGAAACAAGGGAGAGAAUGAUAAACAGGAAAUGAGAGCGAAGGCACGAAUGUGAGCUAGGGCUGGCCGGGCUCUCCAUCGGUGUGGCAGUUUCCAGCCACUCCAGGCCCGGUGUGCGUUCCUAAUCACAACAAAGGCGGCGACUGCCUGGUGCGUUCUCUGCCUCCAGCCACUCCUAGGAUCUGAGGAAAAUGGGAAGAGUGGUCCAGCCUAGAGGAGGAGUCCCAACAUCCUAAGAUGCAUCUUAGGAAGACAGCAGGAUGCAGAGGAGGGGUCUGUCCAGGUCUUAAGGUUUCCAAGAACAGAUGUCUGAAAUUUGUGGAGCACUACUGGAGCGAAGUAGCCUUAGUGGCGGGAAGGCGCGGGCGCAGUGAGGGCAUCGGGAGCCCAGUGGAACUGGAGGGUGAGGGGUCAGUCGCCGGGCUGCGGUCUCCGUUCUGGGGAACACAGCCGCUGCUCCCACUCUCUGAUCCGAUCCUGGGCAGAGGGUAAACAGCCCUUGACACUCCACAACACCCGGAUGGAAACCGCACGAAAAGACAAGUUUGAAAAGCAGUAAAAUAUCAACAACUGCGCAGCAUUUCAGCGAGAAACUUGCCUCUGCUAGAAUCACUGAAGUUUCCCUCUAGGUGGGGCAGGGAGAGGCAGGGUGUGAAGGAAGGGAGUUUCACUGUAAGGGUGGAAGGAUGCUGUAAGAAAUUAUGUCAUCGUGGCAGUUCUUGUACUAACAGCUCUUUCUCGAGUGAGCUGAGUGGCGGACAGACCAUAAAUAUAUUCCAUAGCGAGUGCUUCUGCACGUGGAAAAGCAAACUGCACUCCCUUCCUAUGGCAACAGCCACGGGCCUGUUAGGAGAGUGGCGAAAGACAGAAAAUAAACUACAAGAAACCAUUCCAGAGGGCUAAGGAAACUAGGGGUAGGUCAAGGUUAGUUUCUAGCGUCUGGUGAGCCUAUGUGGUUAAAAGGAAAAGUACAUCAAGCAUUGGGAAAAAAUGUUGCAGAUUUUAAAAUUGUUGACAGAUAUGGAGUAGAAAUAUUACAUUAAGCCAUCUCCCUAGUUAUGAAAAGGGAAAGGAUAAAGAAGAGAAAAACGGGCUUAGAAAAGAGAAUCACUUCGUUGUGUGGACUGGGGGUGGGUGUAGAAGAGCAAAAACAUUGAAAGAAUAAAAAGCAUGGAUGAUAACUGGAGCGAGAUCACUAGAGGUGUUUGUGUGUGUGUGUGUGUGUAUGUAUACACAUAGGCAUGCGUUUCUAACUCAGUUCAUGUAAUUCUAUCUCUGUAUAGAACUUGGAUUUAAAGAAAACUAAGGUGUAAACAGAAGGGAAGAAGAUAGGAAAAGUACACUACCUCCGCAAAGAGCCUUGUUCUGUCACCCAGGCUGGAGUCCAGUGGCAAGAUCUGAGCUCACCGCAACCUCCUCCUCCCCGGUUCAAGUAAUUCUCCUGUCUCCACCUUCCGAGUAGCUGGAAUUACAGGACAGGGAAGGAAGAUACAAAGCAUGAAAGUUGACUUUACAUCAUCAAGACACAUAGAGCCUACAGCAUUGAAGCUGAGUCUUGAACUCUGAAUAGAAGGUCUUCUGGGAGAGAAGGUUAAUGAGAGCCGCCUGCUUCUGCACUCGGGAUUAGGGUCUCCUGUGACAAGGAACUACAGUUUCAACUUUAUCAACAAAGAUGGAAUGGAGAAGAAGAUGGCUGAGAAGGAUAUGUUCUUCAGAAAGGUUGAACGAGACAUCUACAUUGGCGGUCUCGGGGACUCCUGCAGGUUGGUAGUCCCCCAGCAGAUGUGCCGGACCCCAACAAAGAUACAUGUCUACGUAGGUAUUUCAGUUAUCCUCCCACCAUUAGUCAGUGUUGAAUUUGACCCUCACAUUCUCUCUACCACAGCCAUGAUCCCAAUUCUUGUAGUUUGAGUAAAUAAAAUAGAAAUGUGGUUAGCUUUUUGGGGCACUCUAAUAUUCUUUCAGAGGAAUUUGUACUUCAACCAAGAUCUGCAGGGCAUUGAAUUAAUGUUUGGCAUUCCCUUUGUGGUGAGAGCAAAUGUCUGUAUCUUCAGUUUAAAAAAUAGUUUAUGGUUUCAAUUUCAGAUAUUUUGUUAAGUUUUAUGGGAAUGAACUGACUAAACAUGUGAAUUCCAUAGUCUUUUACAAAAAGCACAUGAGCCUGUUUCUGGGAUAUUUAUUUCUAUUUAUUGAUCUAGUCAUUGGGGCCUAUAUCACUACUAUACUCCUUUAAUUACCAAAAGUUAGUGUUGUUUUUUGUUAUCUACAGACCAACUUUAUUCUCUUUAUUUUACCUAUUUAAAAUAGCUUAAUUAGGUGCCAGCUCUUAUUCUUCCAAAAAAGCUUUAGAAUCAGUGGACAAUGCUAACAUAGUCAUAAUAGAAUUUUAAUUAUAACUACGUUUAAGAUAACCUGGGAGAGAUUUGAUGUUCAAAUAGUUAAUUUAAUAGGCUAAAUAAAAUAAUAAUGUAUAAAUUUUGCCCUC